rnacentral:rRNA from 1 species
UACAGAGGGGGCAAGCGUUGUUCGGAAUUACUGGGCGUAAAGGGCGCGUAGGCGGCCUGCUAAGUCGAACGUGAAAUCCCCGGGCUCAACCCGGGAACUGCGUCCGAUACUGGCAGGCUUGAAUCCGGGAGAGGGAUGUGGAAUUCCAGGUGUAGCGGUGAAAUGCGUAGAUAUCUGGAGGAACACCGGUGGCGAAGGCGGCAUCCUGGACCGGUAUUGACGCUAAAGCGCGAAAGCCAGGGGAGCAAACGGG